GUAUUCGUGAGGUACAAAAGUAUUUGUGCUUAGGUUAAGACUUUGAGGCCAUUUAAAGGAUUAAGAAAUUUAGAGAAAAUCCAAUUUGGAUCUAGAAAAGUAUUUUUAAAGUAUCGAGGCUUAGGACAAGCCCGAAAAAUUUUCCCGCAAGGAUUCGGUGAAGUAUCGGGGAAGUAAGGAUGUUUGAAGAGGUAAUUUUCGGAGUGGGCUUAAGGAAAAUUAAGAGGAAAGUGAAAUAGGAGCAGCCCAAGCCCAUUGGCCCAAAAGGAGGGGCAGAUUCGACUUUUCACAAUUAAAUUUGGGAGAGGUAUUUAAGGAACACAUUCUCCAAACCCUAGCCUCAACCCACCUCAUUUUUCACUUCAGCUCUCUCUCUCUACCCGAGAGUUUCUCUCUCUCUCUACCCGAGAGCUUCUCUCUCUCUCUACCCGAGAGCUUCUCUCUCCUCAUCCUCGCCGGAAAUCGCCGCCGCCGGCCGCCGGAACCCGGAUUUCAACCAAAAUCAAGAAAUUUGGUCAUUCAAUCCUCCAAAAACCCUAGAACCCGAAGCUAAUUUGGGGGUUUUUGUGAUUUCUUCUUUCCAAGCUUAAAUCAAGCUAGGCUAUGGGUUUGGCAAGGAUUUUUGGUGAAGAAGGCCAAGGAGAAGGAAUAGGCCGUGAUUUUUGAAGAAGAAAGGGAAACACGAUCAUUAAGGAAGCUUAAGCGGAAAGCAUCAGAGUGUGGAAUACGCCAGCAUUUUCCAGGUUACAACGAGGUCAUUCCGGACGAUUUGGAUUAGAAGUGAGUCGUUGGCCGAGUCCGUGUGUUGCUGUUCCUGUUGCUUGAAGUUCUUCCCAUUUGGUACUCUAUCAAUUUACUAGCUUCUCUUUCAAUAUUGAACUCUGUGAGGUCCGCCUACCUGGGAGCGCGCCUCACCCCGUUGUCGUAUUGUUGUUGUUGAACUUCCCUUUCAUUUCGGUUAUGAUGUAAGCCCUAAGGCAUCACAGUGCACUUGCCCACUUUAUUUUGUUGCAUUUCCAGACUUGUUAAUUUAAAUGUUGGGUUGUUGAUUUAAAAUCUUUUCUUAAAAGUUUUCUUGGUCUCCAUUUUCCUAAAAUUUGCAUUUUCAA